UCAUUUGGAUAGCAUCGAACGACUCAACGUAUGAGUUACCUUCGAGUGCCACCGUCGUUACAAGAAUACACGAGCUGUAUGAAAGCGGAGGAGUUGAAACAUACAACAGCUCUCACUGGAGACCACUGGACUUCGAAUGCUGGCUGUCAUGGUUAGCACAAACGCAGGACAUUACUCAAAAGUAACAAGGCCUGAGGCUCUUGGACAGAGACUGAGGACACUCUGGCCUGACACCUGGAUGUGCCUGGCCCAAUCCUGGCCCCUCUCUACCUGCUUCCUGACUGUUGCUGCCUCCACUGUUUAUUUCUCCCCCUCAAGUCACUGACUCCCAACACACCCAGAAACUUGGAUUCCAUUACUUACCAUGACGUCUUUGUGAAAAGCCAUCUGACGAUAGGACCUUGAAGUGUUAGAACUUCCUCUAUAGUCAUUAUGGAUAUUGUCUGAGCUUGCUGGACAUUAAUAUUGGUAUUGCUUUUCCUUAUUGAAAUUGUGAAUAAAGGAAGACUGCUUUCAUUUUCACUUCAGACAUAAUGAAUACAUUGUUGAAUUGAAUGUAUGCAUUUAUACGGUCUGUAUCUCUGUACUAUAGCAGUUUAAAUAAGGAUUUGUGCAAACUGGAAGUGUCUUCUUUCCCCAAUGAUUUCCUAAGGCUGAGGAAUUAUGUCAGUUAUCAGUUAUCCCAUACCAAGGCUAAAUGGCCACUAAUUAAUCUAAUUGGUACAUGACUGUUCAGUCUGUUGAAUAUUCCAUCAAUAAAAAGGGGGGGCUAAAUUUUUUGGGG